rnacentral:rRNA from 1 species
UACGAAGGGUGCAAGCGUUACUCGGAAUCACUGGGCGUAAAGCGUGCGUAGGCGGUUCGUUAAGUCUGCUGUGAAAGCCCUGGGCUCAACCUGGGAACUGCAGUGGAUACUGGCGGACUAGAGUGUGAUAGAGGAUGGUGGAAUUCCCGGUGUAGCGGUGAAAUGCGUAGAGAUCGGGAGGAACGCCAGUGGCGAAGGCGGCCAUCUGGAUCAACACUGACGCUGAGGCACGAAAGCGUGGGGAGCAAACA